UACGUAGGGUGCGAGCGUUAAUCGGAAUUACUGGGCGUAAAGCGUGCGCAGGCGGUUUUGUAAGACAGGUGUGAAAUCCCCGGGCUUAACCUGGGAACUGCGCUUGUGACUGCAAGACUCGAGUACGGCAGAGGGGGGUGGAAUUCCACGUGUAGCAGUGAAAUGCGUAGAGAUGUGGAGGAACACCGAUGGCGAAGGCAGCCCCCUGGGUCGAUACUGACGCUCAUGCACGAAAGCGUGGGGAGCAAACAGG
rnacentral:rRNA from 2 species